ACUCAAAGGAAUUGACGGGGACCCGCACAAGCGGUGGAGCAUGUGGUCUAAUUUGAAGCAACGCGAAGAACCUUACCUGCUCUUGACAUCCCGGUGACGGCAGAGUAAUGUCUGCUUUUCUUCGGAACACCGGUGACAGGUGGUGCAUGGUUGUCGUCAGCUCGUGUCGUGAGAUGUUGGGUUAAGUCCCGCAACGAGCGCAACCCCUAUCUUCAGUAGCCAGCGGUAAGGCCGGGCACUCUGGAGAGACUGCCAGGGAUAACCUGGAGGAAGGUGGGGAUGACGUCAAAUCAUCAUGCCCCUUAUGAGCAGGGCUACACACGUGCUACAAUGGCGUAAACAAAGGGAAGCGAACCCGCGAGGGUGGGCAAAUCCCAAAAAUAACGUCUCAGUUCGGAUUGUAGUCUGCAACUCGACUACAUGAAGCUGGAAUCGCUAGUAAUCGCGAAUCAGAAUGUCGCGGUGAAUACGUUCCCGGGUCUUGUACACACCGCCCGUCACACCAUGGGAGUCAGUAACGCCCGAAGUCAGUGACCCAACCGUAAGGAGGGAGCUGCCGAAGGUGGGACCGAUAACUG
rnacentral:rRNA from 1 species